CCUACGGGUGGCCGCAGUGAGGAAUAUUGGUCAAUGGACGAGAGUCUGAACCAGCCAAGUAUCGUGAAGGAUGACUGCCCUAUGGGUUGUAAACUUCUUUUAUAUGGGAAUAAAAUGUUCCACGUUUGGGAUUUUGUAUGUACCAUAUGAAUAAGGAUCGGCUAACUCCGUGCCAGCAGCCGCGGGAAUACGGAGGAUCCGAGCUUUAUCCGGCUUUAUUGGGUUUAAAGGGAGCGUAGGUGGAUUGUUAAGUCAGUUGUGGAAGUUUGCGGCUCAACCGUAAAAUUGCAGUUGAAACUGGCAGUCUUGAGUACAGUAGAGGUGGGCGGAAUGCGUGGUGUAGCGGUGAAAUGCUUAGAUAUCACGAAGAACUCCGAUUGCGAAGGCAGUUCACUGGACUGCAACUGACACUGAGGCUCGAAAGUGUGGGUAUCAAACAGGAUUAGAUACCCGUGUAGUC
rnacentral:rRNA from 1 species